GCAAUUAGAAAUUAUAGUACUUGUGUUUUCUAGAUAGAAAUUGGAAAAAGAAGAAGAAGAAGAAAAUAAAAUGUUGAAAGUCGUAGACAAGAUUUUAGGGUUGGUGUCCGCAAUUCAGAGAGAUGGAGAGAAUUUUAAGGUGUGGAGUCUAAGAGCGACGCCAUUGAAUUAUUUAUUCCGUAUCUCUUCUUCUACGCGUUUCGCCACCGCGAUAUAUGGAAGAAGAUCCUACCACUCAUCACUCGCUCAUCACAGCUGGCUGACACAUUUGCAGCUCUACUGUGAGAAGGAAAGGCUUUUCAGAUGAUCAGUUUGAACAGUUGUAGCAAUUCAUCGGCAUUGGUGAUAUUUUGGGUGCUAGUAGCUCGAUGAAGAGAAACUGAGAAAGUUGGAACUUGAAUAAAGUGAUUAAACUCGAUGGAGAAUCUUUUGUUUUUGGGGUUUGUUUACUAACUGUUUGGUCUCUGAACUUUCCAGGGGAGCUUUCUAUAUGUGUGAAUUCUUUUUCAAUUCUCAUCAAAUCUCUCCUUCCACUGCCAGACAGAUAUCAUGGCCUAACUGAUAUUGAUAAAAUGUUACCGCCAACGAUAUGUUGAUAUGAUUGCUAAUCCUGUAGUGGCUGAUGUGUUCCGGAGAAGGGCAAAAGUAGGUUAUCAAACUCUCAUUCGAGCAUCUUUGUGCAUGAUCCCUAAAAAGAAUUCCUUAGCUCACAGUGUAUCAAUUAUAAAAUUGUUGGAGAUAUUAUUGUUUUCUCUUCUUCUUUUUUGUUGUUGUAGAUUGUUUCCCUAGAUACGCAAGACAGUUGAGUCUUUUGGAUAUUUGGAGGUUGAAACUCCACUUCUUCAGGGAGCAGUUGGUAGAGCCGAAGCGAGGCCUUUUUCGUUUCGUAUCAUAACUCACUUGGGAGGGAUCUCUACCUGAGGAUUGCAACUGAGCUUCACUUGAAUAUAAUGCUGGUCAGACACAGCUUCUAUUAUUGUAAUCUCAUGGCGUUCCUCUCAUUCUUCUUUAUCUUGCUUUUUAUCGACUCACCACUUUUGGCUGGAGAUUUACCUCUACCUGAGAUAUAUAUGAAAGAAACAAAGGCAUUUCAACACAUCACAAUCCUGAAUUCACGACCAUAGUGGUACUUCAAGAUAUACCUUCUCCUCAAUCUUCUGCAUCUCCUGUCCUGGCUUUCACAAUCUUGAAUGGUUCCAUAGCAGUUUUAGCUUUGUUUAGAUGUAUGAGGCUUAUUCCGACUACCCAAGCAUGAUGGACAUGGCAGAAUUAAUCGUUACUCAAUGUGGAAUGGCAGUUCAUGGGAAGCUAACAAUUGAUUACCAGGGAACAGAGAUCUGCCUUGAGUGGUCUUGGAGGAGAGAAACCAUGCAUAAUCUCGUUAAAGAGAUAACACUCGUAAUUGUAGCUAUCCUGUUACCCUGAAUCAGGCUGCCAGAAAAGCAGGCUGGCUUCCAGAAAAUGAUGAAACUUAACCUAGAGGUAGCCAUGUUAAGUUUGGUGUAGUCCUUGGAGAAGAUCACAAACAGUUUAGAAGUCGGAGUACAGAUGUAUCCGCCUUAACUGCUUUGCUAGAUGAGGCCAAGACUCGCAGUAAAGCUCUCUUAUUUAGCGUGGUAAGGACAAAGAAUGGACACCCAAGGAGCUGGUGGACCAAACAGCUGAGGCAGUUGGAUUUGGUGCGGUGAAGUGAGUAUCAUCUCUAUUCUGUUGUUGUAUAUGGUGCGGUGAAGUAAGUAUCAUAUGGUGCGGUGAAAUAAGAAUCAGAUUUACUAUCUUCAGUGACUUUUGUAACCAACGCUGCACAAAUGAUAUUUUCAUGCGACAGCUAACUUGCGGUUUUGUUUAAUUGACAUUGACAAUGUAAUGGAAUUUGCCAGCUAGUUUACAUAUUUUCAUUAUGCAGUAA